GUCUACGGCCACACCACCCUGAACACGCCCGAUCCCGUCUGUUCUUGGACGCUAAGCAGGGUUGGGCCUGCUUAGUACUUGGAUGGGAAAACAGUGGAACUCCACUGAGGGUUUGGGGAGGAGGGUAGCAGAACAUG
rnacentral:rRNA from 1 species